rnacentral:rRNA from 1 species
CCUACGGGCGGCAGCAGUGAGGAAUAUUGGUCAAUGGACGAGAGUCUGAACCAGCCAAGUAGCGUGAAGGAUGACUGCCCUAUGGGUUGUAACCUUUUUUUAUAAAGGAAUAAAACGAGGCACGUGUGCCUUUUUGCAUGUACUUUAUGAAUAAGGAUCGGCUAACUCCGUGCCAGCAGCCGCGGUAAUACGGAGGAUCCGAGCGUUAUCCGGAUUUAUUGGGUUUAAAGGGAGCGUAGAUGGGUUGUUAAGUCAGUUGUGAAAGUUUGCGGCUCAACCGUAAAAUUGCAAUGGAUACUGGCAGUCUUGAGUACAGUUGAGGUAGGCGGAAUUCGUGGUGUAGCGGUGAAAUGCUUAGAUAUCACGAAGAACCCCGAUUGCGAAGGCAGCUUACUAAACUGUGACUGACAUUGAUGCUCGAAAGUGUGGGUAUCAAACAGGAUUAGAUACCCUUGUAGUC